CUAGUACUCCCUCCGUCCGAAAAUACAUACUUAUCGCAGAAAUGCAUAAAAAUAGAUGUAUCUAGAACUAAAAUACGUCUAGAUACAUCCAUUCCUCCAACAAGUAUUUUCGAACGGAGGGAGUAUAUU
rfam:Triticum aestivum genome assembly, contig: Triticum_aestivum_CS42_TGACv1_scaffold_592382_7BS